rnacentral:lncRNA from 1 species
AUGGGCCUGAGCGCGGCCCCAGCCCCGGCAGCCCCAGCCCCACGUUCCGGUCCCCCCGCGGGCCUUGCUCUCCACUCCCUCUCCUCCCGCGGGCCCGGGCCCCAGCCCCGCUCCCGAGCGGGUUCCAGCGGGGCAGCCGCGCUCUCCUCCAGCGCCGGGGGCCACAGCCGGGGCCGCAAAGCUCCGUCAGCCCCCGCCACCAGACCGGGCCAGAGCACAGGCGCCCCCCGCCCUCUCCCAGCCGCUUCUACCCGCAGUACCCCCCGUACUCACCGCCUCCGAGGGGGCCCCCGCAGCGGCCCCCAGCAAGGCCCAGCCUAUAUGCGGCGCCUGGCAGGGCACGGGGGAAGAGAACCCCACCGGCACCGCCCCGCCGCGGAAACUCCGGCCCGGCUCGCCCGGUUGCCCCCGGGCCGGGCGCAGGCGGCGCCUGACGGGGCGGGCUCAGCGCCGCCCUUUUCCGGGCCCGCGAGCGCCCUCGCGCGGCCUGAGGGGCUCCGCGGGCCGGGCCUCGGCUCCGCCGGGCGGGCGCUCCGCCUCUCCGAGCGCUGCGCUGCGGGGGAGGGCAGCCCUGCCGUCAGCGGGACAUUGGGAGGGGGGACAACAUGACCGGUGAAGGACUUUGGUCGCUCGAAAGCACUGGGGAAGACCAAGAGGAAGAAAAAAUAAGGCCAUAAAUUUCCACUGGAGGGGUUUAAGACGGUAUCUCUGCAUGUCGAAAUCUGAAAAUCUUCCACAGCACCUACCAGAAUGCUGGCCAAAAGCUCAAAAUGUCCCAGCAGAGUCACGGUCUGGCAUUUCCUAUGAACAAAUAGCAGAUAAGAGAUUUUAAAAAGCCCCGUUUUGUAAUGACAAAUUGGUAGAAGGGUGUUUACACAACUGAGAACUGAAGAGUAAAAAUAAGGAAGUGUAACAGCAUUAUGACACUAGUGGGUAAUUUUCUGUAUCAGAGUUCCAGUAAGAUGAGUUUCUUGCAAGAGACUCAUUCAUAUCUUUUCUAAACUUUAAAAUUUCCUGCCAUAUGUGAUGACAUUUGUUAUAUAUAACAAUGGUAUUAAAUUUGAACUGUGACAGCAGCAUCUAGUACAGCACAACUUCUACUGUAACAUUACUUAACAUCAUAUGAUAGAGAAACAUUUGCAUUGCAGCAGUUGCAGAAAAGAAAGUUAAAAACUUCAUUUUAAAGUUUCAAAUGGUUGUCAGAUCCCUGAUACAUUAUUUUAAGGAAGCUGCUGACACGGGGGAGAGAAGGUUAAAAAAUGAAUCCAGCUCUCCAAAUACCUUAUUGUGAGCAGUGCUGAGUGCUGUGGUUUUGUUUGACAUAGGGAACUGUUCAGUCUCACGCAAAGAACUGAGCUCUGUAUUUAUGUGUGGCUUUAAUUGCAAGCGCUUAAAGAUUUACCUUGACUAGUUAUCUCCAGUUUCGGGACUUCAAGCAGGACUCUCCAGGUGAAGUUACAGAUCUGAAGUCAUAUAUAUGAAGUUAAUAUAUCUAUUAUAACAGGUUCUUGACGUUUUACUGUACAUUCUCCCAAAACUAGUUAACCCAGUGCUCCUCCUUAACUCUCCUCCCUCCCUCUCUCCCUCCCUUCCUCCCUUAUGCUACUCCACACCCAGCUACUAUCUGCACUUGCCCUCUGUACCCUUGGCCUCCUGCUAAUCUGGCUAUAUAAACUCCUAUUUCCUCCCCUCCCAGGCCUCAAAGCAAGCAGUUUCAGGUUCUCCCUUUGUGCUUGGCAGCCUCAUGUCGCAAUGGAGGAAGGGAGGGGGAGAAAAUAAAAAGCAGGCUAAAAUGGUUGUGAUAGGAGAA